rnacentral:lncRNA from 1 species
GGUGCCAGUAUGCAGACGGGAAAUUUUAUGCGUUCCUUUUUAUGUUAUUAAAUACCAAAUUAAAAGAGAAUGGAUAAUUGUGAUUUUCUAAAAAAGUCCUUCAACCUAUGGUUAAUGUCACAGUAUUUCUGUAGUCCCUCUUAUGUCUGUAAAUAAAAUUAUGGUUCUUCUAACGGAUAAUUUCUUUGUAGAACAUGCAGAUGAGUUUAGUGAAGUUUCCAAUGCAAACAAUGUAAGUCCUCUGAUUUGUAGUUCAUUGAAAUAUUCAAUUAGGCUAUGACGUCUUGUCGUUUGCUAAGAUCUGGGCUUUAUCGAAUGUUACGUUCUUGUACGUGGGAUGACCCGAGAGUUUAUUUGUUCGUUGAUAAGACAUUUGUAGUAAUAGGAUUCACAUAAAAAAUAAUAUUGUUUGCAGCUUUGGUCGCUGGAACAAAGAAUUUGAAGACUUCAGACAUUUCACAACCUCUUUGUAUCUGAAUACGGACUAAGGUCGAACAUAUACAGCGUGUGUCAACUGGUAAAUUCUUCGGUUGAUCAAAGAACGAAAGCAUAAAUGCACAUUUAGUUUGUAUUCCCCUAAUUCCGUCCUCGCUUUAUCCUUCUUUAAAAUCACUCAUGAUUAAAAACGUUAUGAAGGUAAUUUCAAGGCUACUGACUAACGUAUGACUUCGUACUAAACGUUAACAAGAAUGUCAAUUCAGUCAUGAUUUAAAGUUCGAUACAAGCAGUAAUGAAUUUGAUAAGAGGAAAACAUAUGCUCGUUUGUAGUUGUUGGUUUGAAAAAAAGUUAAACUUUAAUGGCUGAUCGAGGAACACUUGGUGGAAUUCCACAGUCUGUAUGAAUUUAAGUGCAUAGUAUGCAAGUUUUUUUGUGAGAAAACAUCACCAAGCCAUGUCUUGUAGUAAGGCAGGAAAUGCAAAACAUAUAUUCCUCAUUAAAGAGACCGGGGAAACAGGGGACGAUUUACUUGUAUACAUACGGCGUAGUAGUACACCAACCGUAAAAGCACAAAACGUUGAUAUGUUGCGAUUGACAUAAGUCGUCCCCCACUAAUACUACAAUCACAUAGUGAGUGAGGUCAUUAUCAUCUAGUUAACCUAAGAGCAGUAGCACUGUCUAUUCAUGCAGCGUAGCAUUAUUCCCAAAAUGAUGUAAAUAAACUCAUCAUAGAUACCAGGACUAAAUUUUGUAUAUACGCCAGACGCGCGUUUUGUCUACAAAAGACUCAUCAGUGACGCUCGAAUCCCAAAAAGUUAAAAUGGCCAAAUAAAGUACGAAGUUGAAGAGCAUUAAGGAACAAAAUUCCUAAAAGAUAUGCCAAAUACAGCUAAGGUAAUCUAUGCCUGAGGUAGAAAAGCCUUAGUUUUUCAAAAAAUCAAAAUUUUGUAAACAGUUAAUUUAUAAAUAUAACCAUAUCAAUGAUAAUUCAUGUCAGCACAAAAGGUGCUGACUACUGGGCUGGUGAUACCCUCGGGGAAAACGUUUUGUCGUAAAGCUGUAUUGAGAAUAUUUCUAAUGUUACUAAAAAAGAACAGUUUUCGCCGAUGUUCAAAUCCUUUCGGAAUAUAUUAAGUAAGAGAAAACCAUCAGGAGUUGGCAUUAAUUUUCAAUAAAGGCAGCAGUAAUAUACCGGUGUUCAAAAGUCAUAAAUCGAUUGAGAGAAAACAAAUCCGGGUUACAAACUAAAACCAAGAGAAACACAUCAACUAUAAUAGGAAAACAAAAGAACAACAUGAACACCUAAGUACAACAAAAACAAACGCCGAUAUGCACAUGAUACAUAGAAGCGGACUAUUUGAUAGUUGCCAUAUUCCUUACUCUGUACAUACGUUUUAAGAAAUAAUGAUGGGUUGGACCUGUUCAAAUUGAUUGACAAACUUCCUGCUUUAUGACCAGGUUAAAAAUAGCGCUAAAAUGAAAACAAAAUACGUGACAGAAAUACAGCACAAUCACACGCAAGAACAUUCAUUAAAGAGCAACGCACAAAUAAAUAAUAUAAUAGUCGACACAUCAUGCAAACCGCAGAACACCAAACGCACAUAUUCCAUCAAACGCGAGAGCAAAUCGCCGCAACAAUAGGUUAAGACUCUGUAAU